rnacentral:rRNA from 1 species
GUUAAGUUGCAGGGUAUAGACCCGAAACCCGGUGAUCUAGCCAUGGGCAGGUUGAAGGUUGGGUAACACUAACUGGAGGACCGAACCGACUAAUGUUGAAAAAUUAGCGGAUGACCUGUGGCUGGGGGUGAAAGGCCAAUCAAACCGGGAGAUAGCUGGUUCUCCCCGAAAGCUAUUUAGGUAGCGCCUCGUGAAUUCAUCUCCGGGGGUAGAGCACUGUUUCGGCUAGGGGGCCAUCCCGGCUUACCAACCCGAUGCAAACUGCGAAUACCGGAGAAUGUUAUCACGGGAGACACACGGCGGGUGCUAACGUCCGUCGUGAAGAGGGAAACAACCCAGACCGCCAGCUAAGGUCCCAAAGUCAUGGUUAAGUGGGAAACGAUGUGGGAAGGCCCAGACAGCCAGGAUGUUGGCUUAGAAGCAGCCAUCAUUUAAAGAAAGCGUAAUAGCUCACUGGUCGAGUCGGCCUGCGCGGAAGAUGUAACGGGGCUAAACCAUGCACCGAAGCUGCGGCAGCGAACGUAUCACCCAAGACAACUUUACGGAGUUGACGAUUGACGGAGCGAAGCGACGUCAAAGCGUUCAUUAAAGUCGAGUUGGCUUAGGGAUACGUUCGUUGGGUAGGGGAGCGUUCUGUAAGCCUGUGAAGGUGUGUCGUGAGGCAUGCUGGAGGUAUCAGAAGUGCGAAUGCUGACAUAAGUAACGAUAAAGCGGGUGAAAAGCCCGCUCGCCGGAAGACCAAGGGUUCCUGUCCAACGUUAAUCGGGGCAGGGUGAGUCGACCCCUAAGGCGAGGCCGAAAGGCGUAGUCGAUGGGAAACGGGUUAAUAUUCCCGUACUUGGUGUUACUGCGAAGGGGGGACGGAGAAGGCUAUGUUGGCCGGGCGACGGUUGUCCCGGUUUAAGCGUGUAGGUGUGUGUUCCAGGUAAAUCCGGUUCACUUUAACACUGAGGCGUGA